AAGUCGUAACAAGGUUUCCGUAGGUGAACCUGCGGAAGGAUCAUUAGAGAAAUUGUACCAAAACAAUAUGGACAAUCCAUCCAUAUUAUCCCACCUUGUGUGCAUCCAUUGAAACCAUGCUUUGGGAGGUUCUCUCUCUCUUUGGAGAGAGGGACUUCAAGCCUCCCAAGGUUUUUUUCCCUUGUACACCUUUCUUUCUUGUUUCUCCUGAAAAUAGAACAAAAUAAAAUAAAAAAAUACAACUUUCAACAACGGAUCUCUUGGCUCUC
rnacentral:misc_RNA from 1 species